rnacentral:rRNA from 1 species
UACGAAGGGGGCUAGCGUUGUUCGGAAUUACUGGGCGUAAAGCGUGCGCAGGCGGCUGCUCAAGUCAGGGGUGAAAGCCCAGAGCUCAACUCUGGAACUGCCUUUGAGACUGAGUGGCUUGAGUACGGGAGAGGUGAGUGGAAUUCCCAGUGUAGAGGUGAAAUUCGUAGAGAUUGGAAAGAACACCGAUGGCGAAGGCACUUUACUGGGCUAUUACUAACACUGAGAGACGAAAGCUAGGGUAGCAAAUGGG